UGGUCACACACACAGAGUGUCGAGUUGGAGUUCAGGUCUGCUUACGAUACCAGAACGAACAGAAACUCUGGUGAAGUCUGGAGUGGAAGAAAGAGGAAGCAAGGGAGACUAUUUGGGAAAGAGCCACUGCUAUGCCGGUCUGGGCAGACUGACAGUGGCGUGAACAGUUGAAACCAAGGACCAUUGUCUCCAUCUCCCCCUCCCUGCGGGGAAUCUACACACCCUGCACAGCACAGGAGGAACAACAUGUGCCAAGAAUACCAGGCAGCAGCCAACCAAGACCCGGACAAGUCCAGUUGGAGAGGCAGCUGCUACAAACCUCCUCUAAGGGCUGCUCAGUCUUCACAGAGAAACCCAGACAGUUGGUGGGGGAGAUGAUAGUAUGUGCGGUGUAUGCUGAAAACUAUGAAGUUGAGACCAUGAAAACGGUAUGAAAUGCAACGGCACAGCUAUCAAUGGAAUAUGGAAUUAGAGGCUC